rnacentral:misc_RNA from 1 species
AAGUCGUAACAAGGUAUCCGUAGGUGAACCUGCGGAUGGAUCAUUACCAAAGGAUUUUAUCCAUUGUCUUGUGAACUGUUUUGAACACACGGUCAGAGGCCUCGGUCUCUGGCUGUACACUAAACCUUUAAACAUAACUUACAUACUAUUUAUAAAACUAUAAAUAACUUUUAGCAAUGGAUCUCUUGGCUCUC